ACAUGGAGUUGAAAAGUCUAUAGAGCUUAUAGUUUAGCAAUGGUUCUCCCGAGAGUUGUAUCUUAGAUGCGGUAUAUCAAAGUCGAAACUCCCAAGAACAGGAGACUUUUUUAAUAUGUUUGCUGCACUGCCCUGUCCCUAUAAUGCUCGCCCCGCUCUGUACAAUGCGGAGAUGUAAACUGGAGAACACAUAUAACACUUUGAAGAGGAUGAUAAUUGCGCGUGGCCCUCACACUCUAUAGUACAUAUCUUGGGCACUCUUGAGCUCGAAUUCGGGUAGAGAAAAAAAAGAGAGGCCUGGAUCAAGGAUCCACAUCGUAGAUGUAAUCUAUAUGAUCAGCAGGCACCGGAGCUUUGUCAGCCAGCUCUCGAGCAACACGAUCGGAAGCUGUUUUGGAUUCCUCGCACUUGACUUGCGCCUUCAGCUGCUGCGUUUUGUCAUGAAAACCAACAUGUGUUUGACAUGAGAUCAAAUUCAAAGCAGGCCUCGAAUCAGAUUGUGUAUGUAUAUUACCACACUCGCAGCAUCCAAGUCCUCCUUCUCAGCUAGGAUCUCUGCUGCUUCCACUGCAUCCUUCUUGUUUUCUAGUACUGCACAACACAACGCAAGACGAAUCCGUGAGUCAGGACUCGUUUCUGCCGCAGUAUUACUGCAUUCACCUGGUGGAAGAGGCCGGGCGAGAACGUCGACAACUAGCAGCAAGGAAAGAAACAAGAGGCUGCAGCGAAUACCCAUGACUAGUAAGAUUCAAACUACGGUUUCAAGAGAUUGAUCUUACAAAGCAGUAUAGAGAGAGAGAGAGAGAGAGAGGAGAAAGCGAGAAGAGAAGGAGGAACGCCCCGUGUAGUUAGCGAACGAAGAAGCAGCAAAACAUCCAUCCAAAAUGCGCCCUUUAUAAAGGGUGCAUCCAGCCGUUGGAAGGGGCAGGCUCUCCACCGUCGGAUGGGCUAGUCGAAC
rnacentral:lncRNA from 1 species